rnacentral:rRNA from 1 species
GACGAACGCUGGCGGCGUGCUUAACACAUGCAAGUCGAACGAAGAGCGGUGGAAGCUUGCUUCUUUCAGUUUUCGUGGCGCACGGGUGUGUCACGCGGAAUCAACCUGCCCAUCAGUGGGGGAACUCCGUUGGAAACGACCUCUAAUCCCACAUACGAUCUAAUCUCGGCAUCCAGGAUAGAUAAAAGGUCGCCCCUACAUGUAUGCAAUCACUGGCGUUGCAUUAGCUAGUUGGUUAGGUAACGGCUCACCAAGGCAACGAUCAGUAGCCGGCCUGAGAGGAUGAACGGCCACACUGGGACUGAGACACGGCCCAGACUCCUACGGGAGGCUGCAGUGGGGAAUCUUCCGCAAUGGACGAAAGCCUGACGGAGCAACGCCGCGUGAGUGAUGACGGCCUUCGGGUUGUAAAGCUCUGUUAAUCGGGACGAAAGUCCGUCUUGGGAAUUGUGAGAAGGAUGGAGGGUACCGGAAAAGAAGGCAACGGCUAACUACUU